AAAUUUCACUGGGUGCCCUCUAUUCGUAUUUUCUAAAUCUGACAACCCUACUUUUAGCUAGCCUUCAUUUGGCGAGGCCAGCAAUUCCCUUCAAAGUGAAAUAUCCAUUCUCCGGCAAUGUGCCAUAAUCUGAUAAAGCAGGAUUUUAAUAGGUGGCCUAAUUCAGAUACUGAAGUUAUUCUGUACAACGAUGACAAAUUAAUUAGGGGUAAUUCAGAAACAACUGUGCUUGAAGCUCUGUCUUCCCUUGAUUUUUUUGACUGAAAGGGAUGUGCCAUCAAUCAUGAGAAAAUUCAGGCGCCCUCCAAGAUGCAGUUUGGCUCUGCCUCUGCCCGCUAGAGGAAUUCACCCUGGACCAGAUAGAGGCUUUUGUUUUUCAAGCCCCCUACCACUAAAAAGCAGGCAUAGAUAUUAAUGGGCAUCUUGGAUCCACAUCUGGGUAUUAGAUUAUUAGAAGGGCAUCAGAAUUUGCAUGCGGUCCGAACCAGCCACUGCCUCCGAAGCCUUGCAGACCACAGUGCCUGCUGCCCUUCCUCUGGGUCCAUAUCACCAAUCAGAAUAUGAAGUGUGUCUCCUUAACUGCUGAUGACCGGAGCCUUCUGGGAAUUCCUGAGGGAGGGGAAGGACUUAGCCUGUGGCUUCUAGUCCUGAGGAUGCUCCCUUUGAAUGUCAGUUACCAGCUGCUUAUGGAAGCUAAGACAAGGGACAUCAAGUACUUCGGGGUCCCAAGCUGUAUAACAGGAAUCGGUCACGUUCAAACAAAAGCUAGCUCCAGUGCUGAAGAGGAACUCCAGAGAUCGAAAAGCUCAGCCCCACGGAGGCAGUGAUUUAUGUUUAGGCCACUGGCUUGGCUGCCGGCUGUGGAUUCCAUUGACUGGCGGACAAAAUUAAGCUCCUGGUUCCUCACGUGGAUGCCAUCAGAUCCCUAGUGAAGAAUCCCGUGGAACAAAGCUGUAGAUGUUCUGAUAAGAUGAGAGAGGCAGACAAGUGGUCACAUGACCAGAGAGACCGUGGAGGAGUGGAUGCUGCCUUGGCCUGGGGGAGGACCCAACGUAUUUAGCAGUCCACGCACGUGCUACUCACAGCAGCCCUGUGAGCUUAUCCUUUCCCUACCCUUUUCUGUGCCUGGAGGCACCGGC
rnacentral:lncRNA from 10 species